rnacentral:rRNA from 1 species
AUUGAACGCUGGCGGCAGGCCUAACACAUGCAAGUCGGGCGGAGCGGCGGACGGGUGAGUAAUGUAUGGGGAUCUGCAUGAUGGAGGGGGAUAACUACUGGACACGGUAGCUAAUACCGAAUACUAUCAGAUGAGCCUAGGUCGGAUUAGCUAGUGGGUGGGGUAAAGGCCUACCAAGGCGACUAUCAGUAACUGGUCUGAGAGGAUGAUCAGUCACACUGGAACUGAGAGACGGUCCAGACUCCGACGGGAGGGAGCAGUGGGGAAUAGUGGACAAGUGGCGAAAGCCUGAUCCAGACAUGCCGCGUGUGGGAAGAAGGUCUUCGGAUUGUAAAGCACUUUAAGUUGGGAGGCGUUACCAACAGAAUAAGCACCGGCUAACUUCGUGCCAGCAGCCGCGGUAAUUC